UACAGAGGGUGCGAGCGUCACUCGGAUUUACUGGGCGUAAAGCGUGCGUAGGCGGCUGUUUAAGUCGGAUGUGAAAUCCCCGAGCUUAACUUGAGAAUUGCAUUCGAUACUGGGAAGCUAGAGUAUGGGAGAGGAUAGUAGAAUUCGAGGUGUAGCGGUGAAUGCGUAGAGAUCUGGAGGAAAACCGAUGGCGAAGGCAGCCAUCUGGCCUAAUACUGACGCUGAGGUACGAAAGCAUGGGGAGCAAACAUG
rnacentral:misc_RNA from 1 species